rnacentral:rRNA from 1 species
UACGGGGGGGGCAAGCGUUGUUCGGAAUUACUGGGCGUAAAGGGCUCGUAGGUGGCCAACUAAGUCAGACGUGAAAUCCCUCGGCUUAACCGGGGAACUGCGUCUGAUACUGGAUGGCUUGAGUUUGGGAGAGGGACGCGGAAUUCCAGGUGUAGCGGUGAAAUGCGUAGAUAUCUGGAGGAACACCGGUGGCGAAGGCGGCGUCCUACCAACACUGACACUGAGGAGCGAAAGCCAGGGGAGCAAACGGG